GCCCAGUGUGAACAGCUGAGAGGUGUGAUUUCACAGGCUGGCUCCCCUCUGUCAAAGCGCUGAUUGGGCCGGACAGGAGGCGCAGGAGAGGCCCGGGCUUCUAAAGGACACCAACAGGUGGGAGGCCGCAUUGGAGGGGGCCGCUCCUGGAGCCAUAGAAAAGGCCGAUCUGCAAGGCCUGCUGUGGGCACAAUCCACUGACCAGAUACAGAGGAGGAUGGGUGAUCACAGGAGAGCUGAGGGUGAAGCCGGGGAGUGGUUCUCAGAAAGCGGAGGGUUAGUUUCAUGAGCUUGGCUUUAAAGGGUGGAUAAAAGGCAGAGGACAACUUCAGGGAUGAGGAGUAAGGUUGGUCUGAGUUUUGUCUGUUUUUGAAUCACUCCUGUGAUUUCUCCUUCUAAAACUUUAGUUCACAGCGCAGGAAGAGACAAAGUCAUAUGUCAGGCAACAGAAUCUUCGGGUUACUGUGCUUGUGUGGUUUCAGCUUAACUUCAGCACAAUAUGAGUAAAAAUCUGGUAUCAAACCAGCUUUCUCUCACUUUUACUGAAGACACAGCACAACAUGGCAGCCAGUUGUGUCAGGUGAGGGGAAGCUGAGAUGUGAUGCAGGAAAGAAUCAGGAAAUCUGGUGCCUCUCAGAGGAGUCGUCCUAGUCUAAUUACAGUAGACGAGACAGACUUUCUGGUGGCCAUUUGGUUCAGAAGUGUUUAGAUUUAUCAAGGAAGUCACCACUUGUGAAGGAGAGGUGGACUGAGGCCUUCAUCUUAACCCCAUUUACUCACCGUGAGAAAACCACAAGAGGAGGCGCAAGGAGACCAGACGAAGGUAAGACUGAAGAGGAUUCAGCAGCCCUUACUGCCUGCAGAUGAUGUCCAUCUCCUACCGUCUUUCUCAUGUCCCUCUUUUUCCGUGACCUUUACCCCUGUAACCUUUCCUCCUGACUGCCCCUCCCCUCCUGCUCUGCCUCUUGCUCUGCCACUCGCAGCUGAAGCAACACGCCUUGCUGUGGCUGGUCAAACGGAACCAAGUCAGGUGUUUCUGUGAGGUUUGGUCCCCUUCAACCAGCUACUGCGCCGUGAAUUCAGUCAGCACACACCGGCUGGGAGUCAAACACGCAGUGACGUUGUGGUGUAGCGCUGCUUAAUCUGGAGGUGGUGAAUAGAAUAGAUUUUACAGCACAGAUGCAACGUGAAUCUUCUUUAGGAGCACUAUGUUGAUUGUCCAUGGUAAUAUGUGACUAGAAACCAAAUAAAAGAUCACUGAUGAUGUACA